GGUCCCAGUCAGUAACACUCUGGGAGGGCUCAGGCCACAUCACGAAAUGUGACAGGAUAGCCUUGAACUCAUCAAUUGCUGGGGGCACCUCAAACUCAACUCCAAAAUUGAUCUAAUGAACUUUCCCAAACCACAUUCCCUUCUUGCAUUUCUGAGAGAAUGGAUUCCCAUUCAUCUGACUACAGUGCUACCCUGAAAGCAGAUCCAGAGACUAAGAUUCACCUGCAGGUGAUUCAUUUGCAAGGUAAGCUGUCAUCAGUUGGAGGUAAGCAGAAGACAGUAGAGAGUACAGAGCCCUGGACUGUGACUCAGAGGAUGAGCACCAGAUCCAGUUUGCUGUGCCACAGUGCCUUCUCCAAAGUCACUCACAGAAGGCAUCCCACUCAACCUCACCUUGGGGUAAAUCAAAAUAGUCCUCCUUCUGAAGCUACCGGGUAAAACGGUGGUAGCUGUGCAGCUGCUGCUGAUCAACAGGCUCCAGAAACAGCAGCAGGAGGUGAGCAGUCCCUGCGUUGGCCACCAAGUGGUAGGUGGCCAGCCCUACCUCCAAGUUGCACUGUUUACUUAUUCAUCUUUCAUGGUAAAGCCUCCAGUUGCCUAUUAUGAAAUCAGCAAUAAUCAUGUGUCCCCUGUCUGGGUCCCUGAAAAGAUGGAAAGAGGCAGAUCAGGCUGGUGCUCUGAGAAUGACAGACAUCAAACAAGAAUGAAAAGUGUCACCCUCCUUGGACUUAUUCAGUAACUCAUGCCCUUGAGCAAAGGAGGAUUUUCUAUCAAAGGACAUGGAUUUCUGUGUCUUUCUCUUGAGAUAACAUUGCUGGGUGACCACAGAAAGCUGGCUCUGGAAGCACAGAAGCUGCCUUUCCUUGAGUAAUAAUGUCUCUUCAAAGGGAGCUGGAGCAUGAGUAGUGUACAUGCCUCAGAUUUCAGUGAAAAGUUCAGAGGAGGCCUGAGAAGAAGGUCCUGGGAAUGAAUCAUCUAGAUGACUCAACCUUGCAAAGCCAUCCACCUCAUUGUGGAUAUCAUUCAAUACAUUUGGUGCUCCAUCAU
ensembl:lncRNA LINC01193 long intergenic non-protein coding RNA 1193